rnacentral:rRNA from 1 species
CCUACGGGUGGCUGCAGUGAGGAAUAUUGGUCAAUGGACGAGAGUCUGAACCAGCCACGUAGCGUGAAGGAUGACUGCCCUAUGGGUUGUAAACUUCUUUUAUAUGGGAAUAAAAUGUUUCACGUGUGGGACUUUGUAUGUACCAUAUGAAUAAGGAUCGGCUAAUUCCGUGCCAGCAGCCGCGGUAAUACGGAGGUGCCGAGCGUUAUCCGGAUUGAUUGGGUUUAAAGGGAGCGUAGGUGGAUUGUUAAGUCAGUUGUGAAAUUUUGCGGCUCAACCGUAAAAUUGCAGUUGGAACUGGCAGUCUUGAGUACAGUAGAGGUGGGCGGAAGUCGUGGUGUAGCGGUGAAAUGCUUAGAUAUGACGAAGAACUCCGAUUGCGAAGGCAGUUCACUGGACUGCAACUGACGCUGAGGCUCGAAAGUGUGGGUAUCGAACAGGAUUAGAUACCCCUGUAGUC